rnacentral:rRNA from 1 species
UCUGGAUUGCAUGUCUACGUGCCGGUGUUUUUGGGCUGGUCACGACUGGCUCAUUACAAAAUCGGUUUCUUGGAUGUGCGGUCUUUUUGCCGUGUCUGUUUCGACAGGUGUUGAUGGACCGUGUCUGUCUUCAUGCUUUCAGAUNCUCUUAACCGGGUGUCGGAGGCGGACGGCGCGUUUACUUUGAACAAAUUUGAGUGCUCAAAGCAGGCUUUUGGCUGAAAUUUCUCGCAUGGAAUAAUGGAAUAGGACUUCGGUUCUAUUUUGUUGGNUUNCGGAUCCGAAGUAAUGG